rnacentral:rRNA from 1 species
UUCAGCUUACACCUGAAAAAUGUCUGCCAACACCAGAUCGUCUUGAUGCCAAACUCUAGCCCAACCGACAUGACCCGGAAUAACAAAGCUACUCCCCGCACUUAACUAAAGCAUUUACUAGUCCCAGUAUAGGCGAUAGAAAAGACACCAUUGGCGCGAUAGAGACCACGUACCGUAAGGGAAAGAUGAAAUAGCAGUGAAAACUAAGCUAUAAACAGCAAAGAUCAACCCUUGUACCUUUUGCAUCAUGGUCUAGCAAGAAAAACCAAGCAAAAUGAAUUUAAGUUUGCCCUCCCGAAACCCAAGCGAGCUACUUACGAGCAGCUAUCAUUGAGCGAACCCGUCUCUGUGGCAAAAGAGUGGGAUGACUUGUUAGUAGAGGUGAAAAGCCAAUCGAGCUGGGUGAUAGCUGGUUGCCUGUGAAACGAAUCUAAGUUCACUCUUAAUUCUUCUCCAAGGAACCCCACAAACCCUAAUGAAGCGAAUUAAGGGCUAUUUAAAGGAGGUACAGCUCCUUUAAAAAAGAAUACAAUCUCCACGAGCGGAUAAGUAAAACCCCCAACUGAACUGUGGGCCCUCAAGCAGCCAUCAACAAAGAGUGCGUUAAAGCUCCACACCAAAAAUACAAAAACCUCACGACUCCCUCCCCAUUAACAGGCCAACCUAUAGUCAAAUAGGAGAAUUAAUGCUAGAAUGAGUAACCAGGGUUCUCCCUCUACGAMGCAAGCUUACAUCCACACAUUAUUAACAAACCACCAAUAUACGACAAAUCAAACAAGCAUAGUAUUAAGCAUAUUGUUAACCCGACAAAGGAGCGUCCACUAAGAAAGAUUAAA